rnacentral:rRNA from 1 species
GAUGAACGCUAGCGAUAGGCUUAACACAUGCAAGCCGCGGGGCAGCACAAGGUAGCUUGCUAUCUGGGUGGCGACCGGCGCACGGGUGCGUAACGCGUAUGCAACUUGCCCUAUACAGGAGGAUAACCCGUCGAAAGACGGACUAAUACUGCGUAUGCUCACAACUUGGCAUCAAGUGGUGAGGAAAGAAAUUCGGUAUAGGAUAGGCAUGCGUCCCAUUAGCUUGUUGGUGAGGUAACGGCUCACCAAGGCAACGAUGGGUAGGGGAACUGAGAGGUUUAUCCCCCACACUGGUACUGAGACACGGACCAGACUCCUACGGGAGGCAGCAGUGAGGAAUAUUGGUCAAUGGGCGCGAGCCUGAACCAGCCAAGUCGCGUGAAGGAUGACUGUCUUAUGGAUUGUAAACUUCUUUUAUACGGGAAUAACAAGAGUCACGUGUGACUCCCUGCAUGUACCGUAUGAAUAAGCAUCGGCUAACUCCGUG